UGAAGGGGUGUCUUCCAGCACGUGCUCCCUCUGCUUUGAAGCAAUGAUCCCACAAAUUCUUCAGGGUAGCCAUCUCUGCCUGUAGCAUGCAUUUAGCCCCUGAAGGGCCUGUGAGUGCCCUGGAAACAGGCCUCCCUCCACCUGGGCACAUGCAGCACAGCUCCAGAGUGCAGGCUUUGUGCCCGCAGGAGGCUGGACCUGGUCCCACCCACCUGGGGAUCCCACACCCUGUGCUGUGAGCAGGUCAGCAUAUUGGGCCCUUGUGCUUGAUGUGGUCCAUUUGGACUGGGUCACCUCAGAUAAGCUGGGAGGACUCUUCCUGGAAUCCCCUUGGCUGCAUCUUUCCAAGAAAGCAGGGCCCAAAGAGGCGUGUGUGCGGUGUUUGGAGAGUGGCAGUGGCGCGGUUGCUGUGUCUGCGGUACAGCAGACCUGCUGCUCACCAUGCUCCUGUGUCGGCAGCAGGCGUCCCAGUCCCUCUUCCCUGACACGCUCCUCUGCAGCUUUUCCUGCUGCUUAGCUAGGUGCAUGCUUGGGGGAAAGGAGGCCAGCGUCCCCUUCGGAUCCCACUGCUCAGCUAGGUGCAUGCGUGGGGGAAAGGAGGCCAACAUCCCCUUCAGAUCACAUAUCCCAUGUGGUCAGGGGCCAGGAGGCAUGAAAGACCACGAAGGCCCCAGUCCACUGCUGCAGGUUCUCCCGUCCCUGCGGCCCCACCUUGUCCUUGCUCUCCCACCUCUGGCUGUCUUUCCUGUGACCUCAGGCGCAUGAGGAGCCACAGCUUCAUACACAGCAUAAGCAGUGCUCACAACUGCAUAAGGUCGCAGCCCUAGAAUAAAUCCGUCAUCAUACAUAUGUCCCAGUGCAUCUGACUCUGAUGGACGGGCCCCUGCUCGCCUCCCCAGCACGACGUCCACAGGAAAGAUGCGCUGCCUGUUCGUCUCUCCACUUUUCCUGUUGCUGCUCGUGCAGAAAACCAGCGUGGCACCCAUCAUAAUGGGUUCUAAUUUGCUGCGACUAAGGCCAGAAACUGACUCAGUGAAAUCUGUUCAAUGAAAGAAUGAGUGGCUGCUCAGCACCGUUGCUCUCAGUGGUCUGCUGGACCCUCCCUGAGUGUGAUGCACUUCUGUCCGUGAGCCUGGGGUACUUCCUUCAAGCAAGGAGCAGGUGAAUGCAGGGAAGUCACCAAGGGACACCUAGAAGUUACGGAUGGAGAAGUAUGGACAAGCCAUCCUACUGUGUCAUGGCUUGUGUGCUGAAGGACAUUGUACACACUUCCUGUCUGCUAAUUAUUCAUCUAUGCCUCCUGACAUGGUUUGGCUCUGUGUCCCCCCCACAUUUCAUGUUGAAUUGUAAUCCCCAGUGUUGAGGAGGGACCUAGUGGGAGGUGAUCAGAUCAUGGGGAUGGAUUUCUUUCUUGCUGUUCUGGUUAUAGCAGGUGAGUUCUCACGAGAUCUGGUUGUUUAAAAGAGUGUGGCACCUCUACUUUUGCUCUCUUUCUCUCUCCUGCCACCAUGUGAAGAAGGUGACUUAUUCCUAUUCAUCCUUCUGCCACGAUUGUAAGUUUCCUGAGGCCUCCCAGCCAUGUUUCCUGUACAGCCUGCUGAACUGUGA
rnacentral:lncRNA from 1 species